UACGUAGGGGGCAAGCGUUUGUCCGGAUUUAUUGGGCGUAAAGAGCGUGUAGGCGGCUUUACAGGUCCGUUGUGAAAACUCGAGGCUCAACCUCGAGACGCCGGUGGAAACCGUAAGGCUAGAGUCCGGAAGAGGAGAGUGGAAUUCCUGGUGUAGCGGUGAAAUUCGUAGAUAUUGGGAAGAACACCAGUGGCGAAGGCGGCUAACUGGUCCAGCACUGACGCUGAGGUGCGAAAGCGUGGGGAGCAAACAGGAUUGAGAAACCC
rnacentral:rRNA from 1 species